AAUAAGAUGCCUGACCAGAAAGGACUAUUUUGAUAGAAUAGAUUAUGUAUUAUAUAGAUACUCUUAUUA
rnacentral:tRNA from 1 species